GCUCGGGUGGCGGAGUGGCUUACGCGGCCGCCUGCAGAGCGGCAGACGUGGGUUCGAUUCCCACCCCGAGCU
rnacentral:tRNA from 1 species